UGUAAAUACAUUAGUCGAUCACUCGUUCAUUCAAUAAUCUAUACGAUUUCUGUCGUUAUAGAAUGAAACGGGGUGGUGGGGAUGGUCUGCCACUCGGAGGAGAUAUAAGGCGGCCGCCUUUGACAGUAGGUCCAGUCAUGCCUCGAAUUUCCACCAUUCGCAUAUGAAUCCUCAUGGUACGCACGCUCCGCAAGUAAAAGAGAAGGGUUAAUAAUUAAAUGGUGAAGCGGGGAUAAUCUCCCACCCGUGACGACAACAAACUCAGACCUUUGACCGAUUAUGACAGUUACUAGUUCAGUUGUGCUUCGGAUUUCAACGAGGGAACUUAGAAAUUUUCACAGAUGCAAUUCGUGCCAGUAUUAACAAAGACUUAAAAACUUCAUUGCAAUCGCGCGCGUUGCAAUGAUGUAGUCGAGUGUUAGUAUCGCUAAAAUAAAUUUAUCGCGAAGUAGAAGCAGUGUUAGUUCGUUCGCGUUUCGC